NNNNNNNGGGGGGGGGUUAUUUUUCGUCUUUUUGGGAUUUCCUGCGUCAGCCCUUUCUCCCCGGACUCCCCCCCCGCCGCCGCUUCUCUCGCCUCCCUCUGUUCGGUGCCAGGCUGCGCCCAACCCGACGGGCACCGAGCCGCCUCCGGCACCGGCCGCCCGCGCCGGGCAGGAUCCGACCCGGAGCUCAGCUCGGCUUUGCUGUCCCUGGGCUGGCGGCCCGGAGCGGCGGGAGCCCCAACGGGCUUGCGGCGGCCGCGCGAGCGUGCUGGGAUGGGGGGAAGCAAGAAGCGGAAGCGAGCCGGAGAGCGUCCCCGGUGUCACUGGGCCGGGGGACGGGAGGGGACRGCGGCGGACAGCGGCAGGGCGGGUUCGAGGCAGCAGCGAGCGGGAGCAGCGGUCGUGGCCAUCGGGGGCAGCCGGACACAGGAGGCGAUGCCGGGUGCAACUUGGGGCUGAGAUCCCAUCCUGGCUCUCCAUCGGUGACGUCCCCUGGCGCGGUGGGCACGGCUCCGCCGGCGUCCCGGCCGCCUCUGCCUCGGGCCUCCGGAUGCCUCUUGGUGGCCUCCCUCCUGCCCCGGCGUCUCCGUCUCUCCGGGUGCCAGCGGUGUGCCUCCGUGGCGUCCCCGCUCCCUUGGUGGAGAGGGGCCGGGUGUCCCGGGCGUCCCGCUGCGGCUCCGGCCUCGACGGCGGCCCCAAAGUCCCUUGCUAGAGACGGCUGGUGCCUUCAACCCAUCGCAACAUCCUCCUCCUCCUCCUCCUCCUCUUCCUCUGCGGGGCGGGCGGAGGGAAGGGGCCGCCUGGCAGCGGCACGUGCCGGGGGUCCCCUCCACUCUAAGGCACUGCCGGCAGCGCAGGACAGACGGACGGACACAACGGAGCCUGGUGCGGGGCAGCCGAAGCGACGGCUCCUCCGGGCCGGGAGCGGCCACAGCUCUACCGGCGAGCUCUACGCAGCCGCCGUGCCUCCUUCCGUCUGCUUCCCGGGCGCRCCGGCGUCCUUCGGCAGCGAGCGCCGGAGCCGGCGGCCGAGCCGGGGCCAGGCCAGCGCGGGGCU
rnacentral:lncRNA from 1 species